rnacentral:lncRNA from 1 species
CCCUGUUGUGUUUAUUGUAAAUAAUCAAUUUGUUUUUUUUUGUUCUAAACUUGCAUAAAUAUUUUACACUGGAUGUUUAAAAAUCAAUCUAUCAACUCGCUUCCAGUAGUUUUGAGUACUCUCAGAUCUACGUGUCCUGGACCUGCUGGGGCCCUUGAGCGGCCCCCAGACCCCCUGCCGAUUUGUGCCUACAGUUGAAUGAAUACCUAGCUACGCCCCUGA